rnacentral:rRNA from 1 species
GAUGAACGCUGGCGGCGUGCCUAAUACAUGCAAGUCGAGCGAAUGGAUUAAGAGCUUGCUCUUAUGAAGUUAGCGGCGGACGGGUGAGUAACACGUGGGUAACCUGCCCAUAAGACUGGGAUAACUCCGGGAAACCGGGGCUAAUACCGGAUAACAUUUUGAACCGCAUGGUUCGAAAUUGAAAGGCGGCUUCGGCUGUCACUUAUGGAUGGACCCGCGUCGCAUUAGCUAGUUGGUGAGGUAACGGCUCACCAAGGCAACGAUGCGUAGCCGACCUGAGAGGGUGAUCGGCCACACUGGGACUGAGACACGGCCCGGACUCCUACGGGAGGCAGCAGUAGGGAAUCUUCCGCAAUGGACUAAAGUCUGACGGAGCAACGCCGCGUGAGUGAUGAAGGCUUUCGGGUCGUAAAACUCUGUUGUUAGGGAAGAACAAGUGCUAGUUGAAUAAGCUGGCACCUUGACGGUACCUAACCAGAAAGCCACGGCUAACUACGUGCCAGCCGCCGCGGUAA